rnacentral:rRNA from 1 species
GAAACGGAGGAGGUGGGAUGACGUCAAAUCAUCAUGCCCCUUAUGUUCUGGGCUACACACGCGCUACAAUGGCCGGUACAGACGGAGGCGAAGCCGCGAGGCGGAGCAAAUCCGAAAAAGCCGGUCUCAGUUCGGAUUGCAGGCUGCAAUUCGCCUGCAUGAAGUCGGAAUCGCUAGUAAUCGCAGGUCAGCAUACUGCGGUGAAUACGUUCCCGGGCCUU